UUUGCGCUUUCAGUUUUUGAGUAAUGGAUAAUUUUUUGGUCUGCACGAAGGCGAUUUGGGCAAAAAUCAUGAUAAUUCGAAGAAAUUCGUACACAUUUUUUGCACGAGGAACAAACCUAAUAUGAAUGGCCGAAACGGGUAAAUGAUCGGAUUUUCAACCACACAAGGAGACAGUGUGCGUAUUAUUUUAAAUACCAAUACUUGAAUGCUGAAGUUAAUCAGGGCCAUCUACAAGUUUUAAAGUGUUGCAUAUUAGGCGGAUCUGGAAAAGGAUGUGGUAAGGUGUACUCUCGAGGAGAAGAAAGAGAAAUAGCUUCGAAGCAGCUAAACCACAAAACUGCGGAAAUAUAUCGCACUGAAUGAGCGCAUAAGCUACAUAAGCUAAUGAAGGAAGGAGAGAAGGAGGCAAGUAUUAUUCCAAAUCAAGGAGCUUUGCGAUACGCAAGAUACAGACACGUUGCCAAAAGCCACCUUAAUGCAAAUACAAUAAUAUCACUCUACUUGUUAAAAUCAAGAGCACUAAAAGAAAGUAUUUACAACAUCUCGUAUUCGCCGUUUUAUGUACACUUCGCCACAAAGCACCAGGAUACUGUCUACCAAAACUGGUGUAAAAACACUACUUUUUUUAUAGCAAUAGAUGCGACUGGGUCAUUGGUUUGGCCUUUUAAUUUUCCGGACAAACAGAAGAGCAGCCCGAUUUUCUUUUUAUAUUUAAUUGUUGAUAGAACACCAGAAGUCUCAACUCCUAUCGCUCAAAUGUUGAGUGGCUGCCACGAUACAAAUACCAUCUAUCAUUGGCUACGGGAAUGGAUUACAAAGGGUGGUUUGGAUUAUCCACCGGAAGUAAUUUGCGAUGGAGCCAGAGCACUUUUGGGUGCAGCCGUACAAACAUUUACUCAUUCUUUUACCAUAAACGAGUACGCUGAGUCAAUGAUCGAUUCUAACAACAUCCCCGUGUGCUAUAUUCGCUAUGAUGUAGCGCAUUUAAAGAGGUACACGCAGACAUUAAGAAGUCCCCAGGAAAAGAUCUCAAUGCUUACAUGUACCCAGACUUGGUGAAAUAUAUAAUGAAAGAUAUGCCAACAUUUCCGAUGUGGUCGUGCGUUUGCGCGAUGAUUUUGUAUAUGGACAAGUGCCGGCAUCCAGCGCCCACGUCGAAUCAGAAAUAAAAAAUAUAAAGACGCUCCUCUUUCAACAAGAGAAAUUGCCGGCCAGGGUUUACACUUUUGUCCAAAUGUAUAACGAAUAUGGAAGUGGCACAACGAAGCUGUACGACAGUGGGAUGCAGACUCUGCAACAAGAAAAAUCGGAUAUUUUGAACUUGACAAUGCCGGCAGCGAUAGUUUGGGAGGACGAAGAAAUUAUACAGGCAUAAUGAAUGAGACAAACACCAAAGAAUGUGUGGUAAUCAUUGCAAUAACUAAUAUCAAUAUGUGUAUAUGGCGCUUUCUGUCGGAACAUCACUCCCUAACCAUGGCGCAAUAAUCAGAUGAAGUAAUAAAACAGCUUUCUCGCUUUAUUUUCUGUUAUUCGGCUAUC